UCCUACGGGACGCAGCAGUGAGGAAUAUUGGUCAAUGGGCUUACGCCUGAACCAGCCAAGUCGCGUGAGGGAAGACUGCCCUAUGGGUUGUAAACCUCUUUUGUCAGGGAGCAGUUGGCGCUACGUGUAGCGUUAUCGAGAGUACCUGAAGAAAAAGCAUCGGCUAACUCCGUGCCAGCAGCCGCGGUAAUACGGAGGAUGCGAGCGUUAUCCGGACUUAUUGGGUUUAAAGGGUGCGUAGGCGGAAUGCCAAGUCAGCGGUAAAAUCGCGGGGCUCAACCUCGCUCCGCCGUUGAAACUGGCGU
rnacentral:rRNA from 1 species